UCCUGGUGGCUCAGAUGGUAAAGCAUCUGCCUGCAAUACAGGAGACCCAGGUUCGACUCCUGGGUUGGGAA
rnacentral:tRNA from 1 species